AUGGGGCUGUGUGUUUUGGUAGGUCAGACAGGAUUGUGUGUUUUGGUAGGUCAGGUGGGACUGUGUGUUUUGGUAGGUCAGAUGGGGCUGUGUGUUUUGGUAGGUCAGAUGGGGCUGUGUGUUUUGGUAGGUCUUACAUGGCUGUGUGUUUUGGUAGUUCAGACAGGGCUGUGUGUUUUGGUAGGUCAGGUGGGACUGUGUGUUUUGGUAGGUCAGGUGGGACUGUAUGUUUUGGUAGGUCUUACAUGGCUGUGUGUUUUGGUAGGUCAGAUGGGACUGUGUGUUUUGGUGGGUCAGACGGGGCUGUGUGUUUUGGUAGGUCAGAUGGGGCUGUGUGUUUUGGUAGGUCAGACAGGACUGUUUGUUUUAGUAGGUCAGAUGGGGAUGUGUGUUUUGGUAGGUCAGGUGGGACUGUGUGUUUUGGUAGGUCUUACAUGGCUGUGUGUUUUGGUAGGUCAGAUGGGUCUGUGUGUUUUGGUAGGUCAGACGGGGCUGUGUGUUUUGGUAGGUCAGAUGGGACUGUGUGUUUUGGUAGGUCAGAUGGGACUGUGUGUUUUGGUAGGUCAGACGGGGCUGUGUGUUUUGGUAGGUCAGACAGGACUGUUUGUUUUAGUAGGUCAGGUGGGGCUGUGUGUUUUGGUAGGUCAGAUGGGGCUGUGUGUUUUGGUAGGUCUUACAUGGCUUUUUUGUUUUGGUAGUUCAGACAGGGCUGUGUAUUUUGUUAGGUCAGACAGGACUGUGUGUUUUGGUAGGUCAGACAGGACUGUGUGUUUUGGUAGGUCAGACGGGGCUGUGUGUUUUGGUAGGUCUUACAUGGCUGUGUGUUUUGGUAGGUCAGAUGGGACUGUGUGUUUUGGUAGGUCAGACGGGGCUGUGUGUUUUGGUAGGUCAGAUGGGACUGUGUGUUUUGGUAGGUCAGAUGGGACUGUGUGUUUUGGUAGGUCAGACGGGGCUGUGUGUUUUGGUAGGUCAGACAGGACUGUUUGUUUUAGUAGGUCAGGUGGGGCUGUGUGUUUUGGUAGGUCAGAUGGGGCUGUGUGUUUUGGUAGGUCUUACAUGGCUUUUUUGUUUUGGUAG
rnacentral:lncRNA from 1 species